CUAGUAAUGGCAGGUCAGCAUACUGCCGUGAAUACGUUCCCGGGCCCUUGUACACACCGCCCGUCACACCAUGAGAGUUGGAAAUACCCGAAGCCUGUGAGCUAACAGUAAUGAGGCAGCAGUCGAAGGUAGAGCCAAUGAUUGGGGUGAAGUCGUAACAAGGUAGC
rnacentral:rRNA from 1 species